GUGGCUACAAGAGGAAACGGUGCAACUACAGUCUCUGCAACGUUGUUCUUCGCUUCUAUGGUUGGCAUCCAAGUUUUUGUGACGGGCGGGAUAGGAGGUGUGCAUAGGCAUGCUAACCAUACUAUGGAUAUAUCAUCUGAUCUUACUGCACUUGGAAGAACCCCUAUAGCAGUGAU